CUCCAUGAUGCCUUCGUCUCCUCCCUUCUCCCACCGAACCUUAUCCCUAUCCAAGACCUCUAUGUACGAGGAAGACGCCAUAAGCUCCAAUCAUUCCAGCAUUGGUGGCUGUCUCACCUAUAAGAAGUUGAUCGAGAUGGGCGACCCGGAGUUCAAUCGGAUCCACACCACGAUGAUGGGAAGAGAGGGAACCCCCACGAGUGAUAGGAGAGGAAUAUGAUGGGAAGAUAGGGAGACCGACGUUUC
rnacentral:lncRNA from 1 species